CCUACGGGAGGCAGCAGUGGGGAAUAUUGGACAAUGGGCGAAAGCCUGAUCCAGCAAUGCCGCGUGAGUGAUGAAGGCCUUAGGGUUGUAAAGCUCUUUUACCAGGGAUGAUAAUGACAGUACCUGGAGAAUAAGCUCCGGCUAACUCCGUGCCAGCAGCCGCGGUAAUACGGAGGGAGCUAGCGUUGUUCGGAAUUACUGGGCGUAAAGCGUGCGUAGGCGGCGAUUCAAGUCAGAGGUGAAAGCCUGGAGCUCAACUCCAGAACUGCCUUUGAAACUAGAUUGCUAGAAUCAUGGAGAGGUGAGUGGAAUUCCGAGUGUAGAGGUGAAAUUCGUAGAUAUUCGGAAGAACACCAGUGGCGAAGGCGGCUCACUGGACAUGUAUUGACGCUGAGGCACGAAAGCGUGGGGAGCAAACAGGAUUAGAUACCCUGGUAGUCCACGCCGUAAACGAUGAUAACUAGCUGCGACGGCGUCAUAGAGUCGUUUGGUUGGCGGCGAGCGUACGACGAUUAAGUUUAGUUCCGCCGUCGGGGUAAGGUACGGGUUCGGUUCGAGUAAGUUAAACGUUAACGUAAAGGAAGUUAGACGGCGUUGAGACGNGCCGACGGACGACGACGAGGGAGGAGG
rnacentral:rRNA from 1 species